UUUUUGGUAUUCAUGCUUGAAUUCUAAAAGAAAUUAUAAGGAUACUUUUCACAGAAAAAUGUAUCCCUCUCCCUUUUUACCCAAUUCAACAUUGUCCUGAUAUCUGUAUUUCUUUGAAUGAACCAAAGAGAUUUCCCAACCUUGAUUCCUCAUCUAAUAUGGGCUUAAAUGUUUUUAAUUAAACUGCAUGUGCUGAAGAUAGUUGCCAACACUUUGAGUAGUUUUUUGCAGCUAAAACGACAGAGAGGCAAUUGCCCUUCUCUUAUAUUUUACUGGUGGGUUUAAAAUAUUAAACACAAUAUUUCUUAUCUUCCUUCUCUUUUGUUCAUUCCCAGUUAAUCCUGACAUGGCUUAAAAGUUUGUAUUUCGUAGCUAUAGAGAUACAUCAUGAAUCUAAAAUUGCACUGACUGUAAAAGUUUGUUCACUGCCAUGACUGCAAAGCCUGGCACUCAGCUUGGGAGGCUCCCUCAGAAAGCACUGCAACAGAAGGCUCCUUUGCCCAGUCUUUUCCCAUAGUCUCAUAUGUGAGAGGAUUGAGAGGUGUUCCACAGCAGACUGAAGCAAGGCUGCAGGAUUACCUUGCUUCAGCCUUAAAAAUGCACUUUCAAAAGCCUUAAAUAGAAGCAUAACUUCUGAGCUGUACACAGCACUUGUGUUCUUUUUAAGGUGCCCCAUGUCAAAGUUUCCAGAUAUUAAAAAAAACAUUACCUGAUGUUCUUUUACACAUUUCUGUUACAGCUUUCUGAUGGGUGUUUAUCUUUCAGGAUAUGUUAUCACAAAAAAACAAAAGGAGGGAGAUCGUUGUGCCUGGGAACUGUCUGUUAUCACCUCAGCCCAAAUCUUCUCACAUCUUCGCACCUUGCGAUUGGCUCAAGGAUGAACUGGACAUUGGAAGGGGCCUAAAAAGGUGUAGUUUAACCUAAUGCUCCAGCAUGCAAAAUUCAGAUUCUGCCUACACUCCUUCUGCUAUCAAUGUCUUCCAAUAAAAGUUCCUUUUGAAAUGCUGUUCGUUUCAAGAGUUCUGCUUUCUUGAGAAGGCUGGCAAGGCAGAACCUUACAAGCACAUUUAAUUAGAAUUGAUAAAAUGCACCAAUUCUUGUUAAACCUGCUUUAACUUCUCAGAUGGAAGUAUGUCAGAUAGAAUGCAUACAAUCAGCAUUGUAUUUCAAAUACUUUACAAGCAGGUGCAAUGUAGAAAGAGCCAGGUAGUGAUAAAGACUUGGAAUUUUAGCCCUCUUUCAGGCCCAGAAACCAGCUGAUGACUUUAGGCUAGACCCUGAGGAAUGAGGAAAGAGCAACCACUUCCAAAAAGGUUGCCAAUGCAAUCACUAGCAGUCAAGGCUGACUUGACACAUAUAUAAAAUAUGCUUAAAAAUGCAGCACUAAAUUCUUUUUUGUUAAAAUCAG
rnacentral:lncRNA from 1 species